rnacentral:lncRNA from 1 species
UUGUACUCCGCGGGCAGCAUCAGUCAGAGCGGCUGCGGUGUGCGGAUCUGUUUCACGCGACCACUCGCUCCGGAGGCACGCUCGCAGCGUCGGCGCAGACCCCAGGCUACGUCAGCGAGAGGCAGAGGAAUCCACUUGUUUAUCCGCCGAGGUCUUGGCCUUUGUUCUUCGAGCUUAGAGGGUAACGUCACGUUUUUUUCUCCUCCCCUUACAUCUGCCGUCUCUGCGUCAGCUGUUUGUGCCAGAGCCUGGAAGAGUCCGGAGAGACAUCAGGGGACAGCGGAGCAGACAGACCGGCCAACGUCGAGAAGAAUUACAGGGUGUCACUUGGUUGGAAUCAAAGGCUGAACAAGUGGAAGAUUACUGGAUGGCGUCAGCGAAGCUUUGGUAAGGCUUCUAAAGGACCAGAGAAGGAGGGACGACGGUCGACAAGCCGCUGACAAACUGCUGAGAGGCCGCAUGAAGAUGGAAGGAUGACUCUCUAAGAAGAGCUUCGAUCAGGAUUUAGAUAGUUGUCACAAACCUAGUCGGAAAAUUCUGUCUUAAAGUUGUAAGAACUCGGGCACUGUUAGAAGAGUUUUGGAACGUUGGCAACGGAACCCUAGUGAACAUCUGGAAAGGUGUCCACAACAGCCAAGGAAACGCAGAAGCGCCUCCGAGGACCAGAGACAAGGAUGAGCCUGUCACUGACACAGAUCGAGCUCUUGGUUGCCCUACUGCUGCUCGCGACAUCGCUGUCAGUGGGCCGGUCCUGCCGCACAGAAAGGGAACAGUGCUCUGGCUCAGACGUGUGCUGCGAGGGCCUGGCCUGCGCGCCCAUGUUCGUGGACGAGCAGAACAAGAACGCCUUCUACGGCAACUGCCUGGCGUCGCCCGCCGUCGCGGUGCCCAAGACCCCGCGACCAGUGCACCCGGUGCUCCGCAACAGGGACGCUGCGGUGACGCCGUCGCAAUGACGGGCCGAAAUCCCCUCGUGCCCCCGUGGGCUCCAUGCGCGUGUACAUGCCAUCUCAGUGUUUGGAAGCGAAUGAAUAUGUGCCUGCUGUAACGCUCAUCAACGACUCCGGAUCUUGUUUUUUGUAGUUUUUUGCAGAGCCGCGAUCUCCACUGGGUGCCUUUAAUUUUUAUUUCCUGUGCUAUGUGACCUAUAGUUUGUUGUAACGCAAGAACUGCGACAAAACCUCGCCCCCCCCCCCCCCCCCCCCCAAAAAAAAAAGGGGAAAAAAAAAACAAGCAAGAAAUUUUCUCAAUGUACAGUGGGCAGGGGUUGCCCUUUCGUGGGCGCUAAUCUUGAAAGUGGCGCCGGCGGAUUCUUUCUUUUCCGCGAAGUCCGGCACACGGCGCGUGCGUAUUCAGUGGUGUAGUGAGGCAGGGGGGUGGGGGCUGUAGUAUAGGAGAUAGCAACCAGCACGGGUUCUUUUGCGACGCUGCACGAAGGAGUUGACGCGAAGGAAAAAUGACACGCCAAAUAACGAACCAUAACUUCUUAAAUAUCCUAAUCACGUCUUCAUUAAACAGGAUCCUGUCUAAUGAAGGCGUGAUGAAGAUAUUUAAGAAGUUAUGGUUGGUUACUUUGUAUUGACGGCAAGGACAGGGGAAAGAGGCAUUGCGAUGGCAGAUGAGAGAGGGUUCGAGUGAAAACUGCCAAUGAACAUUAAUGGGAAUCAUGUUAAAAAUUCUCACAAACGUAGUCUAGGGAACGGCAGUCUCGUACACUCGAGGAACGCUACCGGAGCCACCUUUUUUUUAAUUGGUCAGCUGAGUCCCACAGGGCACUUUAGAAGCACCGAACCGCCAAGAGUUCAUCCUCAGUAAUGCUUGCGGUUGCUACGGUUGUUUCUGGCUCAAUUCCUCGCAUUCGCACAAGAUGGACUCGAGUGCCCCUUUCACUUCAUAGUUGGCGCAGUUCCCGGAGCCUUUCCGACCAAUCCGAGAGAGGAACUACAGUGUAUAUGCGCACACAGAAUCGUAGUCGGUACAAACACCGCCUCCGGUUUCCCUAAAAGGGCAGAUGGAACGCGAAUGGCAGUUGAAUGUUGGAGGAGUAUAGCCGGAUGGUAGUAUGCGUGUUGGCCCAGUGGUCCAAUGAAAUUGCCUUUGCCACGACAUAAACUAUAGAAAAUUCGCGAAACAAGCAGAAUAAAAUAUAAUAUUUGCAUGCCGAUGCUCGUUUACUUUGCCCAUUUCGCCACGCUAUCUGCUGUCUCGCAUUAUGGUGCAACCUCACCAUGCAUUACAUUUUGGUCCUUUUUUGACAGUUUAAAACUUUAUUUCUGUGUAUUCUACAGUCAUAAAGUGAAUUUCAAAUUAAAGAACUAUUUUUCAACAAGAUAUUGAUGUCAUGAUAUUACGAUAAUAUUUAGUUGUUAGUUUAUUAUUCAGCUUCUACACACCACGCUUUCUAAUACUGAAAAAUAUGAUUUCUCGUGUUAUAACGUCCCAUCGUCUACGAUAAUUGACGUGAACGCUCAGUUGAAGAUAAUGAAUCAAACAAGUAAGCGACAAACAAUACAAAUAAUAUAUAUUUUGAAGUAAAAAAUAAAGUUUAAAAUGGUAUUCGUUUCGUGUUAUGAAAACGGAAUUACGUCAACUAAUCAAAAUUGCGAGACAUUACAUUACGAAGCAUUCUUCGAUAUCGAAUUUUCCAGAACUUCCACAUCGAUAUAUUACACGUGAAGAAUGUUAUUAGGCGUUAAACUUUUCCCUUUCAGUUACGGCAAGUUACAGUUUCGUAAUAUAAAAUACAGAUUGGGACACGUGUUCAAGAAUAGCUUAAUGUGCAGGAGGCAGUGCGGAAGUGCACCCGCCUGACCAGCCGCAAUAGAACCGUUCGGGAGCUCCGAUCCGCGUGUAAAUUAUUCUGCGCAGAUGGGAGCCAAAUAGCAAUAACGUGAAUACCCGGCCACGCCGACAUUCCGGGUAGCGAGAAGGCGAACACAGCCGCGAGGGAUUUAUUAGUAACCUUUGAACCCUCACAAAUCCGUGUCCGCCCCUCCGAUCCCAAUCCAGCCCAGGUUCCCAUGGACCCAUUGGAGCGCAGCGAGGCCACUCGUCCCGCCAGGAAGGCGCGACUCGCUGCUCUCCUUCCCCAGGAGGAAUGCCCCUCCCGUCUGAAUAACUAGAUGGGAGAGAAUCUGUUUCCGUAAGCUCCAUACACAAACGGCACUGACACCAGUGUGGAGGGCUAGAUUUCACCGCCCUAUUUCCGAGGAUGAUGUUGGCCCUAGUCCACUCUGCUCCCGGUGCAAAGUGCCGGCGAAGUGCCAUCACAGUAUAUGGGACUGUCCUAGGCACUUCAUACACAGGGCUACACACCUCAAUCUAGUCCCGGCGAGCUAUCGCCCCACAAGUUACGCGGAAUGGACAUGCAUGCCCACAUCCCACAAAGCCACCCGACCACUGGAAACACAUUCUCGACUCGCUGCUUGCCUUUGUGCGGACAGCGAACCUUCCCCUGUACGUAUAAUUUUCUUUCCUUCCUUUACCUUUCUGUUCGUCCUCUUUAGUCCUAUCUUUCUUCCCUAAGCCCCCGUUUCAGACGAAUACAGUUCAAGCGGAACGGUGGCCAUUUCAUUUUUCGGCUAAUAAAAAAACGUUUCAAUCAAUCAA